AACGAACGCUGGCGGCAGGCUUAACACAUGCAAGUCGAACGCCCCGCAAGGGGCGUGGCCGACGGGUGAGUAACGCGUGGGAACAUACCCUUUCCUGCGGAAUAGCUCCGGGAAACUGGAAUUAAUACCGCAUACGCCCUACGGGGGAAAGAUUUAUCGGGGAAGGAUUGGCCCGCGUUGGAUUAGCUAGUUGGUGGGGUAAAGGCCUACCAAGGCGACGAUCCAUAGCUGGUCUGAGAGGAUGAUCAGCCACAUUGGGACUGAGACACGGCCCAAACUCCUACGGGAGGCAGCAGUGGGGAAUAUUGGACAAUGGGCGCAAGCCUGAUCCAGCCAUGCCGCGUGAGUGAUGAAGGCCUUAGGGUUGUAAAGCUCUUUCACCGAUGAAGAUAAUGACGGUAGUCGGAGAAGAAGCCCCGGCUAACUUCGUG
rnacentral:rRNA from 1 species